rnacentral:rRNA from 1 species
UAGGUGAACCUGCGGAAGGAUAUUAA